UACCGAGUUUACAACUCCCAAACCCCUGUGAACAUACCUUACUUGUUGCCUCGGCGGAUCAGCCCGCUCCCGGUAAAACGGGACGGCCCGCCAGAGGACCCCUAAACUCUGUUUCUAUAU
rnacentral:rRNA from 1 species